rnacentral:lncRNA from 1 species
GGGAAACACUGGCGGCGAACGCUAUGCAGGAAGGCGAGCUUUCUGGUAAAAACGCGGCCUCUUGCAUGGGCUGAUCUUCUGUUACUGUUUCGCACGUUUAAUAUUUCUAUCUGAGAAGAUAUAACACAAAAAGCGUGCGCUGUCGGUGUUUUUUUUUUCCCACUACG